CUCAGACUGCCCUGGAAAAUGCAGAACCCUGGGCACGUAGGACCAAAAGCGGAAUCAAGACUGAGACUCUCACUGAAGCAUAAAUUCAAAGAGAUGCAGAUGAGAGGAGGGGCCCGGGUGGAAGAUGAAAGUCUGGAAAACUGUGAUGCGAGACAAGAAGUGGACUCUGCACGGAGGUCGUUGUCUAGCAUCCAGCUCAAGAUUGGAGCUCUAGCAUCAUGGUUUGAAUGA
rnacentral:lncRNA from 10 species